CAUUUUCGCAAAACACAAGAGAGAAAGAAAGAGAGGUGGGUGUGAGGAGAAGAGAGAAAGAGAGAGGUGAUUAUGAGAGAAAGAAAGAGAAAAGAGAGUGGGAGCUGAGAGUUUGAGCUCAAAGAUCUAGAGCUCAAGUUUGGAUGCAAGGUUUAAGGGUUCGAAAUUUCUAAGGUGGUGGUGCUUUAUAGUGGUUCAGCCGUCACAUCAACUUAAGAGCAUGCACUUGGGAAGGUAAAAGGUGGACAGAAGUUGCCACAGUUUUGACCAUAGUGGUCGCAGAGAGGACCCCAGUGCUUCCUCAUAGUAUCUCUCCCAUUUACAUGAAUAGUGUGCGCAUAGAUUUUAAGUAUCAUGAUUCUAUGUUAUGAUAUGAGUAUAUGGUUUGUUUGUAAGGUUUUCAUAUAUGAUGAUUGCUUGGUUUGAUUCUCCUUACUGGGCUCUAGCUCAUCCCCCUUGCCUUCCCCCUACAGAAAAUUAACGAAUGUCUUAUAUGUUAUGUGGCGAGUUGAGAUCGAUCCAGAACAUGAGUGUGUAUCCUGUAGAGAUCCAGAUGGACGAACAAAGAUAGAGAACCCCAUAGAGUUAUAAUCUAUUUUUAUCAUGAUUGUAAUUUUGUAAUGAAAAACGAGUGGAAGUUAUUUUCUUUAAAGUUCACGAACUACAUUUUUGUUUUAAACUCGAAUCUGACCUUGUGCAUGUUUUGAAUAAAAGAACCACUAGAUAUUUUUCUCAUAUUAUU